AUUGAACGCUGGCGGCAGGCCUAACACAUGCAAGUCGAACGAGUGGCGGACGGGUGAGUAAUGUCUGGGAAACUGCCCGAUGGAGGGGGAUAACUACUGGAAACGGUAGCUAAUACCGCAUACCAUCGGAUGUGCCCAGAUGGGAUUAGCUUGUAGGUGAGGUAACGGCUCACCUAGGCGACGAUCCCUAGCUGGUCGGAGAGGAUGACCAACGAAACUGGAACUGGAACACGGUCAAGAUCCCUACGGGAGGAAGCGGGGGGGAAUAUUGCACAAUGGGCUAAAGCCUGAUGCAGCCAGGCCGCGGGUAUGAAGAAGGCCGUCGGGUUGUAAAGUACUUUCAGCGGGGAGGCGUUACCCGCAGAAGAAGCACCGGCUAACUCCGUGCCAGCAGCCGCGGUAAUAC
rnacentral:rRNA from 1 species